AAACUAUACUCUUAUCAAACAUCACAGAAGAUUUCAAUACAGCCACAACAUGCUGCAACUCCCAUAAUGCUCAAUUUGUACCUGACAAGAAAGCGAUCUCUGGAGUUCAGGAGAUAAGGUGUCCACGACGUCCACGAGUCCGGAGGGACGAGCAGCCGGAAGUCAUGGGCAGCGACAGUCGGUGGCGCUGUGUCCUGGUGGUGUGGACACUUCUAGGAUCCAUUGAAGCUGGCUGGAUAAGUGGAGUCUGUAACAAUGAAACGGCUUCACCGAAUCAGCCACGGCAUCCAGACCUACCUGCGCAGUUUGAAGCGUUUGUGCAGUGCAACAUGGUGGACAUGAACCUGACGUACCUGGUGCACGAGUAUUUUGAUUAUCCUCCAACAUGGGGCGCCUGACACAGAUGGGCAACGGCGCUAAAGGUGACCUCUACUACGACUACGGCAACAACGAGCUGCUCAACUUUGACAGAAUAAAUGGUGGUUGCGUGGUAACGAACAUCACCACCGACGACAACAGAUUUCUUUUCGGGGUAAAGUCGAAGGGCAGCGAGAAUCACAUCUUCUCCGCGGCGGGUGCGCUGCACUUUGAGCAGGGUACGGAGAGGUACCUGGGUACCGACGUGGUACGCGGAAUCCGGGUGGAGAAGUGGCACUCGUGCCAGUACAUGCCCGUCCUGGACGCAACGGUGAACGUCACGUGGUACUUUUCGGACAAGUCCGCAUGGGACACAGACAUCGGCAAAAGGUCAGUGCCCGUCCGUGCCGUGGUGGUGGGGAAGAUCAACGAUGGCAACAAUGUUCGCAGUUUCAACCACAUCUACGAUUUCUUCCACUUCAGGGCCGCCAUCAAUCCGAUGGACUUACAACUGGAGAGUGGCGACUACUGUCAGAACCGAAUAAAGCAAGUUCCGUUCCCCAAACUGCCUGAUGUGUUCUCCAUCACCGGGGAGAUGAUAAAUUUUUCCGAGGAGGCGACCCUGACGAUCGAGGAACACUAUGACCAGAAAAAUAAGCUGAACGUUUACCGGUACCUGCCACCCGACAAAGCGGGAACACUGGAGAGCGUUAAUGACGUCACCGAAAUCCACGACUUCAACUCGGGUAUUGCCUACAUCAUCAACACCGCCACUGGAGUGUGUCAGAUGCGGAACAUGACUCAGGGGCUUGUCCAGUUCCCCUCCAUCCCUGGGGAAAGUGAUUCUGUGAGGCAGCAGACGUACACCAGGUUCUUCCUCCUCAAUGGCACUACCUCAUACUCGUAUGGAGGCGUGAAAACCCACCGAGGGAUCAGGUGUGAUACCUGGAUCGGAGGGACAGUCGACCCAAACGAUGGCAGCGUCGUCAGAGAUGAAUGGUGCUUUGCCACUACUGACUACCAAAACUGGGAAUUGUCUGGAGCAGGACAGGGCAGCUCGUAUCAAAUCCCCAUCCUGUACAGGCGGUGGGAUGACCAAGACGACGACCAGCCCACGUACCUGUACAAUGGCUUCUCCUUUGACCUGGACCGGCCACUCACAUCCAAACUUGAUGUCGGCGCUUGUUUCCAUGGAGCUCAGAGAAUAAACGUACGUUUCGCUGUUGAUGGUGGGUACAAGUCAGCCGUGACCUACAACAUUGAAAACUUCAAAGCGGCCCUCCGGAGUGCCGUCUCCCUCUUCCUGGGUGUGUCCCAGUUACAAGUUGCGGACAUCGAGGUGUACACUGGUGAUCCAAGCAUCACGGUGACCUUUGACUUGCUGGACGCGCCUCCCACAGCUCAGGACAACAACUCACCAACAGUGUUCAACUCCCUGAACAACGCUCUCUCCUUGCUCACUUCUCCCUCCACGACCACCUACUUUGAGAUUUCUGUCCUCAAUGGUCAGACAGUGACCUUCCACUACUCAACAACUCCGGACGCAUUUUCUUUUCGAAUGGAACCUGCCUAGGCUGUGAUUUGCUGUACUCACCUACAUUUGCUGCUACUAGCUCUGGAUAUUCUGCAGGAGCACUGGGCGGCCUGGCGGUUGCCAUGAUCAUCCUGGGAGGAGCUUUCGGUGUAGUUGGGGGAUACUUCAUGUUUGGUCGACAAGGUCCACAAAGUGGCAUCGUCACACUUCGAGACAUGAAACCAGGAUCUUA
rnacentral:misc_RNA from 1 species